rfam:Xenopus laevis strain J chromosome 5S, whole genome shotgun sequence.
AAUUGGCUUAAUCUCAGCUGGCAACUGUGAGCAGUUAAUAAAUUAUCUCACAGUGGUCUCUGGGAUUAUGCUAAAC